rnacentral:misc_RNA from 1 species
UCUCCGUAGGUGAACCUGCGGAGGGAUCAUUACAAGUGACCCCGGUCUUACCACCGGGAUGUUCAUAACCCUUUGUUGUCCGACUCUGUUGCCUCCGGGGCGACCCUGCCUUCGGGCGGGGGCUCCGGGUGGACACUUCAAACUCUUGCGUGACUUUGCAGUCUGAGUAAACUUAAUUAAUAAAUUAAAACUUUUAACAACGGAUCUCUUGGUUCUG